UGUGGUUCCCUAAACUGCUAUAGGAGACUAUCAGGUUGAAUUUUGCCUUUUAUCCAAGAUUCCAUUGUAGAGGCAAAAUGGAAAAGGCUUGGAUUGAACAAUGGGAAAGCAGAAGAGGGGCUAAAGACAAGAGCAUUGUUCCAGGGUCCCAGGUCUACGGUAGCACAAGAGCCAGACAGGGAUUUCCUUCCAAUGCCAACUUGCCACACCCACAUCUCAAACACUAGAGGAAGGUGGAUGCCACAUCAGGGGAUGCUACUGUCUUCUUGGAGGGCCUGCCUCCCCAGUCUUCCAGUCCAUACUUCCUGGGGCUUCUUCUCCAGGAUUC
rnacentral:lncRNA from 1 species